rnacentral:rRNA from 1 species
UACGUAGGGUGCGAGCGUUAAUCGGAAUUACUGGGCGUAAAGCGUGCGCAGGUGGUCUCGCAAGUCGAGUGUGAAAGCCCCGGGCUUAACCUGGGAAUGGCCAUGGAAACUGGCGAGCUGGAGUGUGGCAGAGGAGGGUGGAAUUCCGCGUGUAGCAGUGAAAUGCGUAGAGAUGCGGAGGAACACCGAUGGCGAAGGCAGCCCUCUGGGCUAACACUGACGCUGAGGCACGAAAGCGUGGGGAGCAAACAGG